AAUAAUCCUAUUUGUGUCUAUUUGUGCAAUUUCAAAAUCAUUUGUAUAGGCUUGUGCCAUAUAGCUCAUUAAAAUGUCACACACUGGCAAACAUUUAUAUUCUUGAUUAUGAGGAUAUUCCAGUCACCAAAUAUGAAUCUUUAUGGAUUUUUUAAAAAAGGUUUGAGGUUUGAGAUCCUUGUUUAUGCUCAGGAAAUCUUUAGUUUUGUGCAAAAUGAAAAAAAGAAUAACCAUAUUGCAUGACAUUGGUAAAGUUUCAAGACAGCUGGAGCCUUUUACAUCUAACAUGGUAUUUAAGAUAAGGUAUACAGACUCCAUAGCAACAAAAUAGAAAAGUAAACCAGGAAUAAGGAACACUUUACGUCAAAAAACAAGUAUAAAGUAAGCAGUAUAAAGAAUAUCCUUGAAAACAAAAACUGAGGAGAAGAAAAGAGUUACUAGGAAACUGUGAAGAUGUGUUGUCCACAUAUUGUUUUCCCUUCAUAAAUAUAUAUAUCAAACUUGCUUUGAUUGUCAGGUGACCAAUAAAUACUUUAAAACUGCCACAACAUGUCAGGAACUGGUGGUGUAGAGCCAAAAAUGCUGAAGACAGGCUUAGGGCAAGAAUUUAAGACUUAAAAAAACUAGAACAUUGAAAGCAUUGACAAUUAUUUUCUGUGGAUAUGAAGACACAGAAAACGGAACAUGAACCAAGAGAAUAUAACUGAGAGCAAAUGUAACCCUAGUAAAGUUAUUUACUUUUUCUUUAACCUUUACUUUAAACAGGGUGUAAUUUUCAGUUUCUCCACUGGUGGCAGUAGACAUUUUAGACGAUGUUUUUUUAAUUUGUUCGGAGUGAUCAUCCCGUCAUUGUAUUGAUCUUUGACGCUUUUCCUCACGAGCGAGAAGCAGCGAGUGAAAGGGAGAGAAAAGACCCGAGCGAGUUAGUGGGAAGAAGAUAAAUCUGGAGAAAACCAAGGGUGGAGUUUGAAAAUUGUGGAAAAGUUCGUUAUCUUGGUGAGUGGUAACCGCAUUUUGUGUUAUAUAAUGCCAGUAAAUUGUAUCGACCGAUUAAAACUAAAUGGGAAAUGGAAACCUAAUGUUAUAAAAAACCAGUUGAGGUAACUAAGGAAAUAUGUGAUUAAUAUACAGUAUGUUUUUUUGUUGAAGUUUCAUUUGUGAAGUCUCCUCAGUUCACCACGUGUUGCAGGCUAAAUACCCUGUAAGCUAGUUUUGACUUGUCGUUUUUUUUGCAUGUUAUUUAAUUUUAUUGUGUGUUUGGAGUUUAACUUUCUGAAAAGGAAAACACCAUGAAACAAUUGAACUAAUGUUAAAAGGUUACUAUGGACAAUAUUUAAUUAUUUUCUGCACAUUUGUGUAGACUGUUUUUUUUUUUUUUUUUGGAGUUCACCUGGAUCCCGGCCUUCAUCUUUUCAUCUCAUCUACCAUCAUCAUCCCAUCAUCUUCUCAUCUCUAAUCCCCUCAUCUCAUCUCUCAUCACCACCUUCUGGAAAUCUCGGUUCGGACAUUAUCAUACAAGUUGACUUCAUCAGGGGAAGCCAUAUCCUAAAGGUAAUUUAGGUAUGUCUUGCUGUUCCAUUGAGGCUCAUGCGGCCACCUUAAGGGACGUCAUGUAAAUGAAACAAACGGUCGGUGUGCAUGUGAUAAGAAACCUAUAUUGCGAGGUAUUUGUAAGGAUAAUGUGUGUUACACACUGUUAUUACAUAUGUGUUAUCCUGUCGUACACUGCCCUUUCACCACCCUAGUCGUUAUAAGGUGCACCUGCUCCCUACUGAUUGUACGUAAAUGCUGCAAGCAUGGGGUGUGGAAGUAAAAUGUAAGUGGCCGUAGGAUGCCCACACUAACUUCACAUUGGUUGUCUAGUUUCCUAAUUUCUAAGAACGCCAAGAAACAUUAUCAUCUGAACACACAACAGCUACUUCACUCUAACUUACUCUUAUGUUUUAUAAGUGUUCAGUAUAACCUGUACCCCGCAGCAUGCCCAUAGAAAAAAAUGUGCAUGAAUUUUGUCUUUCUAGGUGAGGGGUGUCAAACUCAAAUUCAAAACGCACCUUAGGAUAGGCAUUUAUAGAACACACUAAAACUACAUUUUUAAAACUUUAUAAAGGUAUUUUUUUUUUAGUAUAAACGUGUAUAAAAAUAGACAGGAAUAUUAAUCAAGAAUGAAUCAACUUCAACCUUAAUAACUUUCAAUGUUUUACUCUAAAAUACAUU